UAGGGAAUUUUCCACAAUGGACGAAAGUCUGAUGGAGCAACGCCGCGUGAACGAUGAAGGUCUUCGGAUUGUAAAGUUCUGUUGUCAGGGACGAACAAGUACCGUUCGAAUAGGGCGGUACCUUGACGGUACCUGACGAGAAAGCCACGGCUAACUACGUGCCAG
rnacentral:rRNA from 1 species